CUGCAAAUAUUCUUGAUAUUCUGAUUUUGUUAUAAUCAGGGCAAGCUUAACCUUUGUUAUACUGAGACCAUGCCUAUAUUCCUGGCCCUAGUUUUUCCCCUAGGUCUGGUUUUAGAAAUGAUUGUGAUAAAC
ensembl:snoRNA SNORA72 Small nucleolar RNA SNORA72